UACGUAGGUGGCAAGCGUUGUCCGGAUUUACUGGGCGUAAAGAGCGCGCAGGCGGUCGUCCAAGUCGCGUGUGAAAGCCCCCGGCUCAACUGGGGAGGGUCACGCGAUACUGAUCGACUCGAAGGCAGGAGAGGGAAGUGGAAUUCCCGGUGUAGUGGUGAAAUGCGUAGAUAUGGGGAGGAGCACCAGUGGCGAAGGCGACUUCCUGGCCUGUUCUUGACGCUGAGGCGCGAAAGCUAGGGGAGCAAACGGG
rnacentral:rRNA from 1 species